GACGAACGCUGGCGGCGUGCUUAACACAUGCAAGUCGAACGGAAAGGCCCUGCUUUUGUGGGGUGCUCGAGUGGCGAACGGGUGAGUAACACGUGAGUAACCUGCCCUUGACUUUGGGAUAACUUCAGGAAACUGGGGCUAAUACCGGAUAGGAGCUCCUGCUGCAUGGUGGGGGUUGGAAAGUUUCGGCGGUUGGGGAUGGACUCGCGGCUUAUCAGCUUGUUGGUGGGGUAGUGGCUUACCAAGGCUUUGACGGGUAGCCGGCCUGAGAGGGGGACCGGGCACAUUGGGACUGAGGUACGGCCCAGACUCCUACGGGAGGCAGCAGUGGGGAAUAUUGCACAAUGGGCGGAAGCCUGAUGCAGCAACGCCGCGUGCGGGAUGACGGCCUUCGGGUUGUAAACCGCUUUCGCCUGUGACGAAGCGUGAGUGACGGUAAUGGGUAAAGAAGCACCGGCUAACUACGUG
rnacentral:rRNA from 1 species